AUGAAAACAAAAAAAAAGAAUGAAUUUAGAAAAUUAAAUAGAACUUAAUUUUGAUUUUUAAGGAAAAUAUUUGGUAUCUCUCUCAUUUUACAAGUUUUUGCUCUUGCAGGUGAAGGAGUGGUAAUCUUCCUUCUCCUUUGGAUAGGAGUUACCGUUCUAUGAAAGCACAUUGGAUUGGGCUUAAAGCUUCGAAUGGGGGUUUCAGAUGAUUUCCAAUUAUUCAAUUUUGUAGGACUGCUCAGUAUACUAUUAGUAUGAUUACUGAAAUUUGAAGUGUCAGAAUUUGUGCAAGUGUUGAUGGUACUACCAGUAUUUGUAUUUGCUUUAUCAUUAUGACUUUUGAGAGUAAUUUUCUCAAUGCAAAUAUUAUUAUUCAAGUUUAUAUCAACAAGAGGUUUGGUAGGCGAUUCCAAAAUGCCAUUGCAAUCAUUUGCAGUUUGGUCAUAAAACUUAUUUCUCAAGUGUACAACAAUUACAGUGCAGUUAUCAGCCCGAAUAUUACUCAUUCUUCGUUUUCUCUCAGCUUCAGUUGUAAGCAAACUAGCGAUUUCUUGCAUACUCUUAUCUUGAGAAUCAACAAUAAUGUCAGCAAUAGUAAAACCAUCUAAUAUAUCACUGACUCCAUCAGACAUAAUCACAAUAUAAGAAUCUUUCCACGGUUUACCAUCGCACCCUCCAUUGAUAGCUAAAUGGUUUGAAAAGCUUUCAUCAUCAGUGCCCCAGUCUAACUCAAUAUUUUCAACAUGAUUAUUACUUUUAUAAAUGCUCGGUCUGUUUCCCCAACCAAUAGCAAUAACGCUCUGUUCAAUUAGCGCUUCGGAAAAACAUGCCAUAUUCUCAUCCUCUAUCUUGGCCCUUUGGCUAUCAACAGUUUGUCUCCGAAUGGAGUUAAUACACUCCUUCCUUGGAGGAAUACCUCCUAAGUUUAAAAUUCGGUAAUCUGGUGUUGGUAAUAAAGCGCAUCUAGAAAGAUGCAUAUGACCAAGAGAUCUACUCAUUGAAAUACUUAAUCCCAAGUCCCUAGCCUGCGAGUAUGAAAGAUAAGAAGGAAUCAGUCUAAGCAUACCGUAGUCCCCCAAUACAACUUUCCCUACUCCGCUUUGGUCUAUUCUCUGCCUCUCACUCUUUCUAUUCAGACAAUGGGGAUUUGAAAGAUAAUAUAUUCCAUGGAAGUUAGAGGUAGUUUGACCAGAUGACUUGUUAUAAGAUAAAGGAACUGGAAGAUCUGGAAGUAAAACUUUUGAAUUCCCAUUAUCUCCUCCUUCAAUAUGUCGGUCAUUAACACUAUUGUGACUUUCAUCAUAACUACUACUACUACUAGUGGAGCUCAUAUUUUUGCUACCAAUAUUGUCACUAUAAAUUGUACUAAAAUCCCGAUUAUUUCCAAUAUUUCCGAAAUUAUAAUGACCAGAGUUAGUGAGUCCAGGAUUCUCCCCUGGUUUUUGUUGGAAUCCACCAUUUCUAUCCAGAUUUGGAAUUAUACAAAUUGCAGAUGAAUCACCGCAAUUAGCUGUUACUAGAUAUUGAUCAACAAUUCCAACUACAACACAAGUAGUACCAAAAUCUUUUUUGCUUGAAAUAUUUGCAUUAAUAACGCUAUCAUGAGCAUAAGUAAACCCUCUGUUCAAGACAAAAAGAAUUUGUUCAACAUAAUCGGCGAUAGCAAUAUUUCUUGGAAUAUCUGGAACUUCCUUACUUAAAAUUUUAGAUAUACAAUAACCUGCCACAUGAGAGGCAGUCUUUCCAUAAUGUCCAUGCCCAUCUAGAAGACCAAAGAAACAAGAGUUAUUUGAAUCCUCUAACUUAUUACCUGUCGAGUGAGAAUUCCAUCCAGGGCCAUUUCUUUUUGGUGGUAAUGGUGGUAAUGUAAACAAAGGAAAAACUGGAGGAAAUGCCUCGUUUAUUAUUUCAUCUAAACAAUGUACAUCUUUUUUGGAGUAUGGCAUUCCUUGAGGGCAAAAGGUGCCAGCAUUUGCUAAAUUUGGUUGAAUUGGGUCAAAAUUCCACACUCCUUGUGAAAACCCAAGCUUCUCCAACCUUUCAUCUUUUAAAUUGCCAUUCUGUCUCUUACUUUGAUUUUCUUUCUUAUUAUUGGACUUCUUCUGAGCUGGUAUUGAUACAAACCAGCCGUCUUGGUUUUCCUUGCAUCCACCCUGGGAACAAGAUACACCCCAAUCAACCAACCAAUUCAUUGAUUAAAGCUAGGUAAAUCUCUCCAAAUCUGGGAACAGUUAAAUACCUGAAAUUAAUUUCAUUUUCUGAAAUUCCUUAUAAACUUGAUUAAUAUUAUUUAUUUUGAAAGUACAAAUAUUUCAAGUCUAAUAAAAUACCUACUGUGAAAAGCCUAGAAAGAAUUCCUUAAUAACCAAGAAAAAUGAUCAAUCUGAUUGCACUGAUUCUUGUCCCUCUAUAACAAAAUAUAAUCUCCCUAUUUCAAAGUCUGACUAGUUAAGUAAUUUCUUCAAUACGAUUAUGCGCACACACAAAAUUAAAGUAUGUACUUGCAAUGCCCUAUAUUGCCAAAAAAAAAACUGAUUUCUUCUAUUACUUUAACUUUUA
rnacentral:antisense_RNA from 1 species